CAUGGCAGAUUUGCAGGCUAGAAUCCAAAAACUUCAAUUAGGUUGGAAUCAAUUUCAAAUUUCAAAUUCUCCCUCUCUUCAAUAUCAUAACUCACUUUCUUUCUCAUGGAUUUCAAUUCUUCUCUCAUCAGCUCUCUCUCAUCCUCUCUGAUAUCUUCACCACCACCAACACCUUCGCUGCCAUCACUUUCUUUCUCAUUAAGUUCUCUUCUCAAUCAAAUCCCCCACUAGAUUCACUUCCAUUGCAAUCUUCAGGUAACAGAUAAUUUAGGAUUCGUCAAUCUGUAAGUAAUCCCUUUUUAUCUUUUAUAUGGAUUACAUUCAUCUCAUGUUUUGAAUUUUUUUAUUCAUCCUCUGUAUUAUUACAUUGUUUGUUCUUUGAUUCAUAUUGUUUCUAUUUUAUUGAUAAAUUUGGAAUACAAUGAUUUUCAUUAUUAUUAUUUGUAUAUUUGGAUUCAGAAGUCACAAAACCUUAUGAAGAUACUUUUGUAUGGAUUUGAUGGCAUGAAGGUUUCAUCAGCUUCUUCAUAUAGAAAAGUUUCAACUUGCUUCUCAAUCCCUUCCUUAUUUCAUCAUUUGAUUUCAUAUUCUGAUUUUUUUUUCUGGAAUGUUAUUGUUUGUUCAGGUUCCGAAAUUAGGGUUUGAUUGGUUAAGUUUUCUGAACUUUAACUGAUUGUAUUUGAGUAGUAUUUAGCUGAUGUUUAUUAUUUGAGUAGUUAUGUUUUUGUUUUGAUUUUUGAUUCAGAAUUCAAUAUUAUUAGAAAGUUUAUCAAAUUCAGAAUUCAUGUACUUUGUAAGCCUUAAUUAAUUAAUAAUGAUCAUGAGAUAUACCAUCAACUUGAUUUAGUUACUUACUUUCAUAGGUAUUCUAGAUGGAUAAUCUUAUCAAGGUGUAUCAAAUUUGCAAUCUAUGUGUGAUGAUUUGGUUGAUUUUCAUUCUAUCUUCAAUGAGUUAUAGGCAGUUCAAUUUUGAAGUAAUAGAUCUAGAUUUUUUUUUAUAUUCAAUAGAUCUAGAUUUUUGUUGGUGAAAGUUUAAAACUUUCAUCCUUGAUUGUUGAAUUGUGUUGGUACAUCAACUUUAUCUGUUAAUUAAAUUUUUGGAAUGGUUCUUGAAUUAAUUUGUAGGUUAAUGAGUAAUGAAAUUUACAGGUGGGGUAGAAUCUUUUACCCAAGUAAAGGAAUAUAGAUUGGAUUAGGGCUCAUAUGAAUAUCAGCUGUGGUUAUUGUGAUGAGAUCAUCAUAAUCUUCAAUCUAAUGAGAACAUUUUCUAUGUAGAUUUUGUAGGCUUUGGCACUGUAAUUUAUUUCUCUAUACUUGGUUGGAUUCGUAUAGGCUAUUGCUAAAGAUAAACUUGAUUGGGGGUGAUACAAGUAGUGUGAGUACUCCAAUUUUGUAUUACAAUAAGGCACAAGUUAUUUAUCUGUAAUUUUUUAAAUUAGUCUUUGCAAUAAACUCAAUUUUAGAUUAGUCUUUUUGUUGAACAUUGUUGCUUAUUUAUGUUGUUGAGUUUUGUGUUGUGAUUGAAAUCUAUUGAAUUUGUGUGUUGGAAAACCUUUCGUUGUAACAAGGCUUCUGAAAAAUAAAAGUGGUGUGAUUUCUUUCCAUAUUAGAGCCUUGGUCAUUUUGUAGGUGUUUGGACCAAUUUAUUUCAUAUUUCAAUUUCACAUGUUUGUUGUGAUUAUGAUGACGUUAACUAUUAAGUAUGAUUUUUGGUUUUUAUGUAUUCUUUUAUGCAAGAUGAUAUUAAGUAUUAGAUAGAUGAAGAAUGUGAUAAACUAAAGGACAUCAUGAAGAGAAUUCUUUUUUUGUUUAAUACAUUGAAUCAGGGAACAACAAGAGUGACGAACAAGGAGUCUUUAAAUAGUCACCAAAAGUAUGAAUUCAAGACACUAAAUUUAAGUUAAUGCCUUAGACUCAAUGAAAUGUAUGGCUGCUGUAAAAAGGAAAGGAGAAGUGCAAGAAGACGAUAUUUACAUUAAGUUUCUCACUUCCUUUUCAUUGAUGAAGAAAGAGGUGAGUGAAGAUCCAUUCAUCUUGCUUCUUGCAAAGGUAGUAGAAGUUUUAUGUAUUUUGAUUGUCGUAAUUUAAUUUUGUUCCCGGCUGAUUUGGAAGAAGCAGAAUACAUAGUGUUCAAGUACAUAUAGUGGAUAGUGCAAUGGGUUGUUAGCUUUUUCGUGUAUAAGACUUGGUUUUGGAGUUUUUCAUUGGUUUGGUUUUGGAGUUCUAUAGUUUGAUUUUAGAAAUUUGCAUAGAAGCAAUGCUUGGUCAGUUUGGUAAUCCUAUAGUUUUGAUUUGUUUGAUUGCUCUCCCAGACAUUUUUAACACAUUCACUUUUUUGAAGGGCGAGUAACGAGAAUGAAGUUGGAAAGUUGCUAUUAACUAUUGUUGAGAGAAUGUAGCAAGAUUAGCAAUGCCAUGAUGAAGGAGUGGCUUUCCAUGUUUUCCCUUAGCAUUCUGAUAUACAUGUUUUCCCUUGCCAUUUUUUCUUAACUGAACAUGAACCUUAAGUGUCUCAUUCUUAGAAGCCUUUGUUGGUUCACGUACUAGGACAUAAUCCCUUUAAAUAUGUCAAGCCAUAACAAUUUGGUUUAUAAUAUAAAUUUGGAAGGUACUUAAUUGAACAUGAACCUUACGAGUCUCAUUCUUAGAAGAGAAACUGGGAGUAGCUUUCAAUAUCAACGGGACUGCGACCUUAAAAGAGUGAUUUUAGGUAACACAUCAAGCAUGAGAUUAAAUAGGUCAGGACUUUAUAUCCAAUACCAAGUAAUUAGUGCACAUAAUGUGCCAUAUACAAGCAGAAAAGCUCGACACGAGCUUGAUAUUGUACGAGUUCUCCAACUACAAGGAAACUCUAGAGUUUGUGGAAGAUUAGCUAAAGCCUGAGUGCAACUAGGAUAGACACAAUUUCUAUUGUAUAUUCUUGAUAUAGUUAUCUCAAUUUCUAUUGUAUCGUGUACUAUUAAAAGUAUGUACACC